GACGAACGCUGGCGGCGUGCCUAAUACAUGCAAGUUGAGCGCUGAAGGUUGGUACUUGUACCAACUGGAUGAGCAGCGAACGGGUGAGUAACGCGUGGUGAAUCUGCCUUUGAGCGGGGGACAACAUUUGGAAACGAAUGCUAAUACCGCAUAAAAACUUUAAACACAAGUUUUAAGUUUGAAAGAUGCAAUUGCAUCACUCAAAGAUGAUCCCGCGUUGUAUUAGCUAGUUGGUGAGGUAAAGGCUCACCAAGGCGAUGAUACAUAGCCGACCUGAGAGGGUGAUCGGGCACAUUGGGACUGAGACACGGCCCAAACUCCUACGGGAGGCAGCAGGAGGGAAUCUUCGGCAAUGGACGAAAGACUGACCGAGAAACGCCGCGUGAGUGAAGAAGGUUUUCGGAUCGUAAAAAGCUGUUGGUAGAGAAGAACGUUGGUGAGAGUGGAAAGCUCAUAAAGUGACGGUAACUACCCAGAAAGGGACGGCUAACUACGUG
rnacentral:rRNA from 1 species